rnacentral:tRNA from 1 species
GGAUUGUAGCUCAGUGGUAGAGCGUUUGUCUAGCACACAUGGGCACUGGGUUUGAUCCUCUGCACCA